UACGUAGGGCGCAAGCGUUUAUCCGGAAUUAUUGGGCGUAAAGAGCUCGUAGGCGGUUUGUCGCGUCUGCCGUGAAAGUCCGGGGCUCAACUCCGGAUCUGCGGUGGGUACGGGCAGACUAGAGUGAUGUAGGGGAGACUGGAAUUCCUGGUGUAGCGGUGAAAUGCGCAGAUAUCAGGAGGAACACCGAUGGCGAAGGCAGGUCUCUGGGCAUUAACUGACGCUGAGGAGCGAAAGCAUGGGGGAGCGAACAGGG
rnacentral:rRNA from 1 species